rnacentral:rRNA from 1 species
UACGGGAGGCAGCAGGGGGAAUAUUGCACAAUGGGCGAAAGCCUGAUGCAGCUAUGCCGCGUGUAUGAAGAAGGCCUUAGGGUUGUAAAGUACUUUCAGCAGGGAGGAAAGAAAUAAAACUAAUAAUUUUAUUUUGUGACGUUACCUGAAGAAGAAGCACCGGCUAACUCCGUGCCAGCAGCCGCGGUAAUACGGAGGGUGCAAGCGUUAAUCAGAAUUACUGGGCGUAAAGAGCGCGUAGGUGGUUUUUUUAAAGUCAGAUGUGAAAUCCCUAGGCUUAACCUAGGAACUGCAUUUUGAAACUGAAAAACUAGAGUAUCGUAGAGGGAGGUAGAAUUCUAGGUGUAGCGGUGAAAUGCGUAGAUAUCUGGAGGAAUACCUGUGGCGAAAGCGGCCUCCUAAACGAAUACUGACACUGAGGUGCGAAAGCGUGGGGAGCAAACAGGGAUUAGAUACC